rnacentral:misc_RNA from 1 species
GAUGAAGAACGUAGCGAAAUGCGAUACGUAAUGUGAAUUGCAGAAUUCAGUGAAUCAUCGAGUCUUUGAACGCACAUUGCGCCCCCUGGUAUUCCGGGGGGCAUGCCUGUCCGAGCGUCAUUGCUGCCCUCAAGCACGGCUUGUGUGUUGGGCCUCCGUCCUCCUCCCGGGGGACGGGCCCGAAAGGCAGCGGCGGCACCGCGUCCGGUCCUCGAGCGUAUGGGAGCUUUGUCACCCGCUCGAUUAGGGCCCGGUCGGCGCCAGCCGUCAACCCCAAUUUUUAUUCAGGUUGACCUCGGAUCAGGUAGGGAUACCCGCUGAACUUAAGCAUAUCAAUAAGCGGAGGA